AAUCACAGAUAAUAUCAUUUUGAGAAACAUGGUUAGCUUCUGUGCUGCAUUUCUUAAAUUCUGCAUUUCUCUAAUCAUCAGAAAUGCUGUAUACAUUAGUCUUCUACUGACAGCAGGCAUCAUAAAUGGAGAUGAAGUAACACAAGAAUCGAGUAAAACUGCAUAUGAAGAGGGAGAUGCUGUCCUCCUCUGUAAUUUCACAACAACAGCUUCAAUAGCACAGCCAUACUUAUACUGGUAUCAGCAGAAAGCAAAUGGACCUUUAGAAUACCUAAGUUUACAGGUGUAUAAAUCUAAACCUGAUGCAAAGGAAGGUCGUUUCACGUCACACUUUGAUGUAUCCAAGAAUUUUGUGUAUCUGAAUAUCUCCAGACCCCAGCUUUCUGACUCGGCAGUUUACUACUGUGCGAUGAGUGACACAGUGAUGACAUCUUCACUAACAUGAAACAAGAACUUGUGCCAGGUGUUCAUGAAGAAAAUUUCAUUUUCUCUUUGAGAAGAAGCAGGGCAGGGACAUUCUUAAGUACAGUAAAUAUCAGAUGGCAUGACAAUCACCGAUGUUUGGAUUAAAAUAACACAGAUUAUUUCAGGAAGUGCUAUCACAGAAUAGUCAUCUUUUUAUCCUGUCAGUACUUUUAAAGUCUGCUCUUAUGACACAUUUUAAACUCAUAAAACAGCUUGUCAUUAAAACUGCACUGAAAAAUGGUUGAGACUGUACAGUGUUAGUGCUUUGAGUUUAAAUGGCUAUUAUUAUGUAAAAUCUACAUAUAUCCCAUAAUGUUAUGCAUUGUAAGAUACCUGCACAUAUCCUUCCCAUGAAGUUAGUAAUCCCUGACCACAGAUAUCUUACUGGUAGAUUCAUGGCUAAUCCACCUAAAUUAUUAUAGUUAUAAGAUGCACGACUAACCCAUCUAAAUUGUUAUAAGAUGCACAACUAAUUCACCUAAAUUUUAAGAUGCAUAAGUAAUCCAUCUAAAUUAUUACAAUUAUAGGAUGCAUAACUAUUCCACCUAAAUUAUUAUAAAAUGCA